AUACGUAGGUCCCGAACGUUGCGCGAAAUUACUGGGCGUAAAGGGUCCGUAGGCGGUCUGGUAAGUGGAAGGUGAAAGCCUGGGGCUCAACUCCAGAAUUGCCUUCCAAACUGCCGGACUUGAGGCAGGGAGAGGUCGGCGGAAUUCCCGGUGUAGCGGUGAAAUGCGUAGAUAUAGGGAGGAACACCAGUGGCGAAGGCGGCCGACUGGAACUGUCCUGACGCUGAGGGACGAAAGCCAGGGGAGCGAACCGGAUUAGAAACCCUAGUAGUCC
rnacentral:rRNA from 1 species